CAGGAUGCAUAGUUAAGUUUUAAUUCAAAUAAACAACAAAUACUUUUAUUAUAAGUCUGUCCCGUGCAAUAUUUGGGACAUAUUUAUACUAAAAUCUAUUCUUUAUUUAACUGAAAUUCAAACUUAACUAUGUUUCUGUA
rnacentral:miRNA from 1 species